AACGCAGGCCACCUUAUCGCGGAUUAUCCCCAUUAAUUUGGGAUAAAACGAGGAAAGUCCGGACACCAUAGUGCAGUAUAGCGGGUAACGCCCGCCCACUGAAAAGUGAGGACAAGUGCAACAGAAAGCAAGUACAGUUAGGCUGUAGUGAAACCAGGUAAACUCUAUACGGUGAAACGUCAUGUAAAUCGAUGCUUGAGGGCUGCACGCCCAAGUCGAAGGGUAGGCGGUUAGAACCUUGGGGCAACCCAAGGUCUAGAUAAAUGAUAAGGCAAUUCUGAAUUUGGUUUCAGAACGAACAGAAUCCGGCUUAUGGCCUGCUUUUUUU
rfam:Maribacter sedimenticola strain DSM 19840 genome assembly, contig: Ga0070243_102